AUUAUCUAUUUGACCUCAAGGACUGAAUCAUUACAGAAUAACAGAGAGAGAGAGAGAGAGAGAGGGAGUUUGCGUGAUCGCUUGAUGCUGGCUUCUUCGCCACACUUCCUUCAAUCUCAUCUUCAUCUGAUUUUCCGAUUCCAUGGUUGAAACUCACCGGAAGAUUCAUACCUUUUCCGGCGGAUUUUAGACGCGCGCUACCAGAUUCCGGAGAAACAACCAGCUCAUAUAGCAGGGGGCUCUUGAUCCUUGGAAAAAGAUGAGAAAUGGAAAUAACAGCGUGGAGACGGUAAACGCGGCGGCGAUGGCGAUCGUAACGGCGGACAGUCGAGUUCAGCCAGUUACGGUUCGGAAGAGAAGAUGGGGAAGUUGCUGGAGUCAAUACUGGUGUUUUGGAUUUCACAAACAUAGCAAACGAAUUGGUCAUGCCGUCAUCAUUCCUGAACAGAUUGUGCCAGGAACUGCUGCUCCAGCUGCUGAAAACUUGAGCCAUUCAACAACCAUAGUGUUACCCUUCAUUGCUCCUCCCUCUUCCCCUGCAUCUUUUCUCCAAUCAGAUCCUCCAUCUGCCACUCAGUCGCCAGCAGGAAUGCUAUCUCUCACUUGCCUUUCUGUCAAUGCUUACUCCCCUGGCGGGCCAGCCUCCAUUUUUGCCAUUGGCCCUUAUGCUUAUGAGACGCAGUUAGUCUCACCGCCUGUGUUUUCUACCUUAACCACUGAACCUUCCACUGCUCCAUUUACUCCCCCUCCAGAAUCGGUGCAACUGACUACUCCUCCAUCCCCUGAAGUUCCAUUUGCUCAACUGCUGACAUCGUCACUGGAACGUAGUAGAAAGAACAGUGGGACCAAUCAGAAAUUUGCAUUAUCCCAUUAUGAGUUUCAGUCCUAUCAACUGUAUCCAGGAAGUCCUGUUGGACAACUCAUUUCGCCAAGCUCAGCAGUGUCAAAUUCAGGCACUUCUUCCCCUUUUCCUGGCAAAUGCCCGGUUCUUGAGUUUCGCAUGGGGGAAGCCCCAAAGCUCUUGGGCUUCGAACAUUUUGGCAAUUGCAAGUGGGAUUCAAGGCUAGGUUCAGGGUCCUUGACACCAGAUGGUGUGGGGCCUCCCUCUCGAGACAGUUUCCUUCCGGAGAAUCAAAUUUCUGAGGUGGCAUCCCUUGCCAACUCAGAAAAUGAAUCCCAUAAUGGCAAUGCUGUAAUUGACCACAGAGUUUCGUUUGAGUUGACUCAUGAAGAUAUUGCAAGUUGUCUCAAAAAGGAACUAGCGGCAGAAGAAAUUGUGGCAGCACGUCCUCUGGAUAGAGUUGCAGAAGGCACAAUUCAAAGGGAUGCACUUUCAAGAAUUACUGAGAAUUGUGGUGAACUUUGUGAUGGGGAAGCUCCUAACAAAAACCCUGAGACAGCUUCAGGACAGGAACAGUGCAGCCAAAAGCAUUGUUCGACUGCCCUUGGGUUGAUCAAAGAGUUUAAUUUUGAUAACACAAAGGGAGAUGUCUUGGAUAAGCCAGCCAACAGCUCAGAGUGGUGGGCUAAUGAAAAUGUUGUUCGAAGGGAAGUUGGGCCCCGAAACAGCUGGACUUUUUUCCAAAUGCUACAACCGGGGGUCAGUUGACAUUGAACAUAGACAACACAGCUACAAAAUUUGAAAUGGAUUUGCAGUUUUUAAGACCUUUAUAUAUAUGCAAAUCUGAAGGUAACACAUUUUUGGAGAUACAGCUCAGCUAGCCUCCAACAUUAUGUAUGGGUUGUGGAAGGCUGCCAGGACUGCUUUUUAGUCCCAAUAUUUGGUAGGGAUCACAAUUGUGGGUUGACGAAUCCAAGCAAGGGGAUAUUGCUUAGAGAGGCGGGUUCUAGCCUAUUUGAAGGAGCGACAUAGUGAGGGGAUAUCGCUUGGAGAAGGCGGGCUUUAGCCUUAAUAAAGGAGUGUGUAAAGGUUUGUUCCACCCGUUAACGGAACAGGUUUAGUGAAUCCUUUGAUGGUCUUACCAAAGGCGAGGACGUAGGCUAUGUUGAAGCCGAAUCUUGUAAAAAUCCUGGUCUCACUCGCUCUUUCCCUUACUUUUUACUUUCAGUACAUAUACAAUUGCGUGGAUGGUUUAAUUGAUAAACAUACAAAUUACGUAAUUUGGAAGUUAAAUAAACUUAAGGUUCAAUUUU